rnacentral:rRNA from 1 species
GUUUGGUUAAGUUAGAAAGGGCGCACGGUGGAUGCCUUGACACUAGGAGUCGAUGAAGGACGGGACUAACGCCGAUAUGCUUCGGGGAGCUGUAAGUAAGCUUUGAUCCGAAGAUUUCCGAAUGGGGAAACCCACCAUACGUAAUGGUAUGGUAUCCUUGCCUGAAUACAUAGGGUAAGGAAGACAGACCCAGGGAACUGAAACAUCUAAGUACCUGGAGGAAGAGAAAGCAAAUGCGAUUUCCUGAGUAGCGGCGAGCGAAACGGAACAUAGCCCAAACCAAGAGGCUUGCCUCUUGGGGUUGUAGGACAUUCUAUACGGAGUUACAAAGGAACGAGGUAGACGAAGCGACCUGGAAAGGUCCGUCGUAGAGGGUAACAACCCCGUAGUCGAAACUUCGUUCUCUCUUGAAUGUAUCCUGAGUACGGCGGAACACGUGAAAUUCCGUCGGAAUCUGGGAGGACCAUCUCCCAAGGCUAAAUACUCCCUAGUGAUCGAUAGUGAACCAGUACCGUGAGGGAAAGGUGAAAAGCACCCCGGAAGGGGAGUGAAAGAGAUCCUGAAACCGUGUGCCUACAAAUAGUCAGAGCCCGUUAAUGGGUGAUGGCGUGCCUUUUGUAGAAUGAACCGGCGAGUUACGAUCCCGUGC